GGUUAAGCGACUAAGCGUACACGGUGGAUGCCCUGGCAGUCAGAGGCGAUGAAGGACGUGCUAAUCUGCGAUAAGCGUCGGUAAGGUGAUAUGAACCGUUAUAACCGGCGAUUUCCGAAUGGGGAAACCCAGUGUGAUUCGUCACACUAUCAUUAACUGAAUCCAUAGGUUAAUGAGGCGAACCGGGGGAACUGAAACAUCUAAGUACCCCGAGGAAAAGAAAUCAACCGAGAUUCCCCCAGUAGCGGCGAGCGAACGGGGAGCAGCCCAGAGCCUGAAUCAGUGUGUGUGUUAGUGGAAGCGUCUGGAAAGGCGUGCGAUACAGGGUGACAGCCCCGUACACAAAAAUGCACAUGCUGUGAGCUCGAUGAGUAGGGCGGGACACGUGGUAUCCUGUCUGAAUAUGGGGGGACCAUCCUCCAAGGCUAAAUACUCCUGACUGACCGAUAGUGAACCAGUACCGUGAGGGAAAGGCGAAAAGAACCCCGGCGAGGGGAGUGAAAAAGAACCUGAAACCGUGUACGUACAAGCAGUGGGAGCACGCUUAGGCGUGUGACUGCGUACCUUUUGUAUAAUGGGUCAGCGACUUAUAUUCUGUAGCAAGGUUAACCGAAUAGGGGAGCCGAAGGGAAACCGAGUCUUAACUGGGCGUUAAGUUGCAGGGUAUAGACCCGAAACCCGGUGAUCUAGCCAUGGGCAGGUUGAAGGUUGGGUAACACUAACUGGAGGACCGAACCGACUAAUGUUGAAAAAUUAGCGGAUGACUUGUGGCUGGGGGUGAAAGGCCAAUCAAACCGGGAGAUAGCUGGUUCUCCCCGAAAGCUAUUUAGGUAGCGCCUCGUGAAUUCAUCUCCGGGGGUAGAGCACUGUUUCGGCAAGGGGGUCAUCCCGACUUACCAACCCGAUGCAAACUGCGAAUACCGGAGAAUGUUAUCACGGGAGACACACGGCGGGUGCUAACGUCCGUCGUGAAGAGGGAAACAACCCAGACCGCCAGCUAAGGUCCCAAAGUCAUGGUUAAGUGGGAAACGAUGUGGGAAGGCCCAGACAGCCAGGAUGUUGGCUUAGAAGCAGCCAUCAUUUAAAGAAAGCGUAAUAGCUCACUGGUCGAGUCGGCCUGCGCGGAAGAUGUAACGGGGCUAAACCAUGCACCGAAGCUGCGGCAGCGACGCUGAUGCGUUGUUGGGUAGGGGAGCGUUCUGUAAGCCUGUGAAGGUGUACUGUGAGGUAUGCUGGAGGUAUCAGAAGUGCGAAUGCUGACAUAAGUAACGAUAAAGCGGGUGAAAAGCCCGCUCGCCGGAAGACCAAGGGUUCCUGUCCAACGUUAAUCGGGGCAGGGUGAGUCGACCCCUAAGGCGAGGCCGAAAGGCGUAGUCGAUGGGAAACAGGUUAAUAUUCCUGUACUUGGUGUUACUGCGAAGGGGGGACGGAGAAGGCUAUGUUGGCCGGGCGACGGUUGUCCCGGUUUAAGCGUGUAGGCUGGUUUUCCAGGCAAAUCCGGAAAAUCAAGGCUGAGGCGUGAUGACGAGGCACUACGGUGCUGAAGCAACAAAUGCCCUGCUUCCAGGAAAAGCCUCUAAGCAUCAGGUAACAUCAAAUCGUACCCCAAACCGACACAGGUGGUCAGGUAGAGAAUACCAAGGCGCUUGAGAGAACUCGGGUGAAGGAACUAGGCAAAAUGGUGCCGUAACUUCGGGAGAAGGCACGCUGAUAUGUAGGUGAAGUCCCUCGCGGAUGGAGCUGAAAUCAGUCGAAGAUACCAGCUGGCUGCAACUGUUUAUUAAAAACACAGCACUGUGCAAACACGAAAGUGGACGUAUACGGUGUGACGCCUGCCCGGUGCCGGAAGGUUAAUUGAUGGGGUCAGCGCAAGCGAAGCUCUUGAUCGAAGCCCCGGUAAACGGCGGCCGUAACUAUAACGGUCCUAAGGUAGCGAAAUUCCUUGUCGGGUAAGUUCCGACCUGCACGAAUGGCGUAAUGAUGGCCAGGCUGUCUCCACCCGAGACUCAGUGAAAUUGAACUCGCUGUGAAGAUGCAGUGUACCCGCGGCAAGACGGAAAGACCCCGUGAACCUUUACUAUAGCUUGACACUGAACAUUGAGCCUUGAUGUGUAGGAUAGGUGGGAGGCUUGGAAGUGUGGACGCCAGUCUGCAUGGAGCCGACCUUGAAAUACCACCCUUUAAUGUUUGAUGUUCUAACGUUGACCCGUAAUCCGGGUUGCGGACAGUGUCUGGUGGGUAGUUUGACUGGGGCGGUCUCCUCCUAAAGAGUAACGGAGGAGCACGAAGGUUGGCUAAUCCUGGUCGGACAUCAGGAGGUUAGUGCAAUGGCAUAAGCCAGCUUGACUGCGAGCGUGACGGCGCGAGCAGGUGCGAAAGCAGGUCAUAGUGAUCCGGUGGUUCUGAAUGGAAGGGCCAUCGCUCAACGGAUAAAAGGUACUCCGGGGAUAACAGGCUGAUACCGCCCAAGAGUUCAUAUCGACGGCGGUGUUUGGCACCUCGAUGUCGGCUCAUCACAUCCUGGGGCUGAAGUAGGUCCCAAGGGUAUGGCUGUUCGCCAUUUAAAGUGGUACGCGAGCUGGGUUUAGAACGUCGUGAGACAGUUCGGUCCCUAUCUGCCGUGGGCGCUGGAGAACUGAGGGGGGCUGCUCCUAGUACGAGAGGACCGGAGUGGACGCAUCACUGGUGUUCGGGUUGUCAUGCCAAUGGCACUGCCCGGUAGCUAAAUGCGGAAGAGAUAAGUGCUGAAAGCAUCUAAGCACGAAACUUGCCCCGAGAUGAGUUCUCCCUGACUCCUUGAGAGUCCUGAAGGAACGUUGAAGACGACGACGUUGAUAGGCCGGGUGUGUAAGCGCAGCGAUGCGUUGAGCUAACCGGUACUAAUGAACCGUGAGGCUUAACCUU
rnacentral:rRNA from 1 species